UUGCAGCUGCCUAGGAGUGAUUUC
rnacentral:miRNA from 1 species